GCUGGGUGUGGUGGUGCACAUCUGUCAUCCCAGAGGCUUGGGAGGCUGAGGCAGGAGUAUCGUGAGUUCAAAGCCAGCCUCAGUAAAAGCGAGGCCCUAAGCAACUCAGUGAGACCCUGUCUCUA
rnacentral:sRNA from 1 species